GCCCUUGGGUGAAAUAUUGUAUAGCCAAAAGAGGAGCUCGCGACCGAUUAGCUAGUUGGUGGGGUAAGAGCCUACCAAGGCUGCGAUCGGUAGCCGGUUUGAGAGGACGACCGGCCACACUGGGACUGAGACACGGCCCAGACUCCUACGGGAGGCAGCAGUGGGGAAUUUUCCGCAAUGGGCGAAAGCCUGACGGAGCAAUACCGCGUGAGGGAGGAAGGCUCUUGGGUCGUAAACCUCUUUUCUCAAGGAAGAAUCAAAUGACGGUACUUGAGGAAUCAGCAUCGGCUAACUCCGUGCCAGCAGCCGCGGUAAUACGGAGGAUGCAAGCGUUAUCCGGAAUGAUUGGGCGUAAAGCGUCCGCAGGUGGCACAUCAAGUCUGCUGUCAAAGCCCCCAGCUUAACUGGGAAGAGGCGGUGGAAACUGGUGAGCUAGAGAGCAAUAGGGGUAGAGGGAAUUCCCGGUGUAGCGGUGAAAUGCGUAGAGAUCGGGAAGAACACCAGUGGCGAAAGCGCUCUACUAGGUUGCGACUGACACUGAGGGAGCAAAGCUCGGGGAGCGAAUGGGAUUAGAUACCCGCGUCCUUACAAAAA
rnacentral:rRNA from 1 species